CUGGCUCAGGACGAACGCUGGCGGCGUGCCUAAUACAUGCAAGUCGAACGGUCUUUCUAUGGAAGCUUGCUUCCACUGAGAAGAUAGUGGCGAACGGGUGAGUAACACGUGGGUAACCUGCCCAUAAGAGGGGGGAUAACAUCCGGAAACGGGUGCUAAUACCGCAUAGUUUUCUUGAUCGCAUGAUCGGGAAAGGAAAGACGGCCUUUGUGCUGUCGCUUAUGGAUGGACCCGCGGCGUAUUAGUUAGUUGGUGAGGUAACGGCUCACCAAGACGAUGAUACGUAGCCGACCUGAGAGGGUGAUCGGCCACAUUGGGACUGAGACACGGCCCAAACUCCUACGGGAGGCAGCAGUAGGGAAUCUUCCGCAAUGGACGAAAGUCUGAACCGGAGCAACGCCGCGUGAGUGAAGACAGCCUUCGGGUUGUAAACCUCUGUUGCAGGGGAAGAAGAAAGUGACGGUACCCUGCGAGGAAGCUCCGGCAAACUACGUGCCAGCAGCCGC
rnacentral:rRNA from 1 species